CCCAAGGCCUUGCUUAGGAGACCCGAUCCCAGGCCGAGGGCCUAUCUUCUAAGCCGCAGAGAAGUAUGCUCUGGGCUCCCACACUCCCUGUGGCUGCCUCCCUGCUACCCUCCCCUUCCCCCGGCCCCCAGACAAUUCACAGCCCAGCUGGUGCUUUCACGGGAGAGGGCCUGCUGACUCCAGACCCCCAGCUUCUUCCCGGCUCAGCCCUGGGUUCUCAAGAAGCCUGCUGGUCUCAGCACUGGACAGACACAUCCGCCCCUCCUGAGCUCUGCUUGUGCCCUGCUCUGCAAGGCCUCGGGCAUCCGCGAGGUCCUCCUCGGGCCUAAAUGGUGGGGUGCAGCAGGUGCUUAGGGAAGCGUGGACCAGGCAGUCUCUGGGAAUCGCCGCCUUCAGCGUGGCUGCCGGCUCAAACCAGAGAUCCCUAUCGCACAAGGAGCAGAGACUGACAGGGGCAGUGCCGGAGUAAUCACUGUGUGCAGCUGUGCCGUCGGGGACCUUCAUGUGACCUCCUGGAGACGACGGAGUGUCACCAUCAUCCCUCAGGGGCAAACAAACAAAUCUGAACUGGAGUUGAAUGGUUAAGUCUGUGCAUGAGAGAUGAGGACCACUCUUUCCCAGUUUCUGCUGACUGUCUCUCCAGGAUGCUUGGUGGUAAAGGGAGAAGUUGGGCAGAGACCUAGCGGGAAGGGGGCAGGGCCUUUCCUCCUCCAGGGGGUGAUGGGUUGCAAAGAGUCCACAGCAGAGGCGUUCAUUUUUCUCUGACUUUGCAGGACAGAAAGCAAGAGCCGGAAGAUGGAGACGAGCAGGGAAGGUGAGGAUGUCCCUCCAAAUGCCUCCAGCGUGGCAGGGCCAGAGGCGGAGGUGGUGUGGGUGACCUGGAGAAGUGAAUCUUGGGGAGAAUGCGGAGGUCAAGGCCGGGGCGCAGAUUUCUGAGCAAAGAGGGACCACACCGGGGAGCCAGCCGGCUGCAAGGCCUGGGCUAGCAUCUUCAACCGUCUCCUACCCUAGCACGGCUCCUUGGAGGGCAGUCUCUGACUCGGUGACUUCCAUAAAGCCAGCAGCAAUGAAAAAAAACUCAUCCGGCCCACCACAGAUCUGAGUCAGACCAACAGAACUUGGAGAAUAUGGCCCAGGAGCCGAGUUGUACCAGGUCCUCCAGGAGAUUCCGAUGUUCUGAAUGUGAGAAACACAACCACCGACUAUAUAUAUGAUAUAUGUAUAUAUAUAGAUAGAGAUAUAGAUAUAUAUGAAAAUGAAAAAGAAAUCCCACCAGCCUAAUAGCGUCUAUAUAAAAGAACAAGAAAUGUCUAACUGCUCCAAAGGCAACAGCAAACUUAACUUGCCGAGUAAGAGAGAUGCCAAAGGCCAUUAACAAAUAAUAAAAACAUACAGUCCA